AGUGAACGCUGGCGGUAGGCCUAACACAUGCAAGUCGAACGGCAGCACAGUAAGAGCUUGCUCUUACGGGUGGCGAGUGGCGGACGGGUGAGGAAUACAUCGGAAUCUACUUUUUCGUGGGGGAUAACGUAGGGAAACUUGCGCUAAUACCGCAUACGACCUACGGGUGAAAGCAGGGGAUCUUCGGACCUUGCGCGAUUGAAUGAGCCGAUGUCGGAUUAGCUAGUUGGCGGGGUAAAGGCCCACCAAGGCGACGAUCCGUAGCUGGUCUGAGAGGAUGAUCAGCCACACUGGAACUGAGACACGGUCCAGACUCCUACGGGAGGCAGCAGUGGGGUAUAUUGGACAAUGGGCGCAAGCCUGAUCCAGCCAUACCGCGUGGGUGAAGAAGGCCUUCGGGUUGUAAAGCCCUUUUGUUGGGAAAGAAAAGCAGCAGGUUAAUACCCCGCUGUUCUGACGGUACCCAAAGAAUAAGCACCGGCUAACUUCGUG
rnacentral:rRNA from 1 species